GACGAACGCUGGCGGCGUGCCUAAUACAUGCAAGUAGAACGCUGAAGGAGGAGCUUGCUUCUCUGGAUGAGUUGCGAACGGGUGAGUAACGCGUAGGUAACCUGCCUGGUAGCGGGGGAUAACUAUUGGAAACGAUAGCUAAUACCGCAUAAUAGCAGUUGUUGCAUGACAACUGUUUGAAAGGUGCAAUUGCACCACUACCAGAUGGACCUGCGUUGUAUUGGCUAGUUGGUGGGGUAACGGCUCACCAAGGCGACGAUACAUAGCCGACCUGAGAGGGUGAUCGGCCACACUGGGACUGAGACACGGCCCAGACUCCUACGGGAGGCAGCAGUAGGGAAUCUUCGGCAAUGGACGGAAGUCUGACCGAGCAACGCCGCGUGAGUGAAGAAGGUUUUCGGAUCGUAAAGCUCUGUUGUAAGAGAAGAACGAGUGUGAGAGUGGAAAGUUCACACUGUGACGGUAUCUUACCAGAAAGGGACGGCUAACUACGUG
rnacentral:rRNA from 1 species